CCUAAUACAUGCAAGUCGAGCGGACAGAAGGGAGCUUGCUCCCGGAUGUUAGCGGCGGACGGGUGAGUAACACGUGGGUAACCUGCCUGUAAGACUGGGAUAACUCCGGGAAACCGGAGCUAAUACCGGAUAGUUCCUUGAACCGCAUGGUUCAAGGAUGAAAGACGGUUUCGGCUGUCACUUACAGAUGGACCCGCGGCGCAUUAGCUAGUUGGUGAGGUAACGGCUCACCAAGGCGACGAUGCGUAGCCGACCUGAGAGGGUGAUCGGCCACACUGGGACUGAGACACGGCCCAGACUCCUACGGGAGGCAGCAGUAGGGAAUCUUCCGCAAUGGACGAAAGUCUGACGGAGCAACGCCGCGUGAGUGAUGAAGGUUUUCGGAUCGUAAAGCUCUGUUGUUAGGGAAGAACAAGUGCAAGAGUAACUGCUUGCACCUUGACGGUACCUAACCAGAAAGCCACGGCUAACUACGUGCCAGCAGCCGCGGUAAUACGUAGGUGGCAAGCGUUGUCCGGAAUUAUUGGGCGUAAAGGGCUCGCAGGCGGUUUCUUAAGUCUGAUGUGAAAGCCCCCGGCUCAACCGGGGAGGGUCAUUGGAAACUGGGAAACUUGAGUGCAGAAGAGGAGAGUGGAAUUCCACGUGUAGCGGUGAAAUGCGUAGAGAUGUGGAGGAACACCAGUGGCGAAGGCGACUCUCUGGUCUGUAACUGACGCUGAGGAGCGAAAGCGUGGGGAGCGAACAGGAUUAGAUACCCUGGUAGUCCACGCCGUAAACGAUGAGUGCUAAGUGUUAGGGGGUUUCCGCCCCUUAGUGCUGCAGCUAACGCAUUAAGCACUCCGCCUGGGGAGUACGGUCGCAAGACUGAAACUCAAAGGAAUUGACGGGGGCCCGCACAAGCGGUGGAGCAUGUGGUUUAAUUCGAAGCAACGCGAAGAACCUUACCAGGUCUUGACAUCCUCUGACAACCCUAGAGAUAGGGCUUUCCCUUCGGGGACAGAGUGACAGGUGGUGCAUGGUUGUCGUCAGCUCGUGUCGUGAGAUGUUGGGUUAAGUCCCGCAACGAGCGCAACCCUUGAUCUUAGUUGCCAGCAUUCAGUUGGG
rnacentral:rRNA from 1 species